UUCAGGGAAUGUCUCGUGCAUGGGCGUGGAUGAUCAAAGGUCAGCUCUUGGUCAAUGAUCUCAUUCUGUUGCCCAGGCUGGAGUGCAGUGCUGUGGUGUGAUCACAGCUCAGUGAAGCCUCGACCUCCCCGGCUCAACAGAUCCUCCCAUCUCAGUCUCAAAAGUGGCCUAGAUGCUGGCAAGAGUGGAUUUCUGGAAUUGGUCACAAUCAGGAAUAUAUUUCUGGAAUCCAGAGAGGCAUAGGGUCUCACUGUUUGACCCAGGCUGGUCUCGAACUUCUGGUCUCAAGAGAUCCUCCUGUCUCAGCCUCUCAAGUAGCAAGGAUUACAGGUGCAUGCCAUCAUGCCCAGCAAGUGUGCAUUUCUAACAAUCUCUCAAGGGAUACCAAUGAUGCUGGUCUAGGAACCACUCUUUGAGGAACAAGGCAUUAGAGAACUAGUUCAUUCACAUAGUUGCAAACUUUUUUCCUUUUAUAAGUAUUUGUGAUUAAAAUUUGAUGGAGUUGUGA